ACGACCCGUAGAACUGCCCACGAC
rnacentral:miRNA from 1 species